GCUCUGGUAGCUCAGUUGGUAGAGCGCGUCCUUGGUAAGGACGAGGUCGGCGGUUCAAAUCCGCUCCGGAGCUCCA
rnacentral:tRNA from 1 species